rnacentral:rRNA from 1 species
ACUCGAGUGGCGAACGGGUGAGUAACACGUGGGUGAUCUGCCCUGCACUUCGGGAUAAGCUUGGGAAACUGGGUCUAAUACCGGAUAGGAGCCAUCUUUAGUGUGGUGGUUGGAAAGUUUUUCGGUGUAGGAUGAGCUCGCGGCCUAUCAGCUUGUUUGUGGGGUAAUGGCCUACCAAGGCGGCGACGGGUAGCCGGCCUGAGAGGGUGUACGGCCACAUUGGGACUGAGAUACGGCCCAG